AAGCACAUGAGUGAGAGCACUAGGAUAUUGAAUGCAGCUCAUUUGACAGCCACAUAUGUCAUUAAUGAGAAGGAAUUUCUGAUUCCUAUAUAUAGAACCUUUAAGUAACAUAUGGCUAAUGUUAACUUGUUAGCAAGACACCUCCACAUUUCACGGCAACUAAGUUAACCAUAUAUGACUUUAACGCUACGGAUCCCUUUGUAAUGUUGAACAGAUUUCGCCAAAAUUUUACUGCCAUAGGGUUGUUAGGAAUUUAAUGUGGCUAAUAUAAGCAAAGUUAUUGUUUGCUACGCUAUUUAAUGACUGAUUCAGUCAGUUUGUUGAGGCGUCUCAGACAGGAAAGGAAAACAGGCUGUUAAUGGCUACAUUGGCCAUGUUAAAUUACCAUGUUAAUUUUAGACUUAACCUAGGUGGUCGAUUAAAGUAGAGUGAGUGAUCUUGAUUUACCUUUACUAUCUUUGGCUAAGCUAACGGCAAACCAGCGUGGUAGAGACGUAGGGAAGCAUUACAUUGUACACACUUGGGUGAGUAACAUGUCUUCUCCCACCAGGCUUUUCUUUGAAGUUUUAGGGACAGAAAAUGACAAAGUGUUUGCUGUCCUUGCAACUCUCACUCGGCACAGAAAGAGAAAAGUGGCAGUGAUGUUUACUAACCCCAACCACUCUGUGUUUAGUUGUGUAAAAUAACUGAACUAAAGUAGAAUAUCGCUUCAGCAUCUCGUUUCAUUCAUUUCACUUGAUAUAAAAUCAGUCCUUCUGUCUGUAAGUCACAAGUAUAAUGUUAUAGUCGCAUGUCAUUUUUACACCCCGCCAGGCUGUGUGGCUCUAUAAUAGCAGGUGUGUGUAGUAAUGUGUGCAAUUUAAGAGGUGCACUUGUUACAAAGCUGUCUCCCUAAUUGUACGAGUUAGCGAUGUGUAUGUGUGUGUUAGAUUGAUUUAAGGUGUACUGCUAAUUCACACAUACACUUUGUUUUAAAUUCAGACACUUUCCUCCCACUUAAUUAAACAAACAUGAACCAAAACAUAAAAUAAUGCACUUUGUUCUUGGGUCUGUGAUGCCCAGUUAAAACUGAAAGGUCUGUUUGUUUGUCCAGCUCUGAACAGUGUAUAUGCACAGUGAAGUACAUGGAUAACUUUGUCCAGGAGAAGCCAACAGAAUGAAUCUUUCAUGUUUUGACUCCCCCAGUUUAAAGAUUUCUCAAGCCAGAAGAAGCAGGGCAAGGAGCCUCUGUUCAACAUUGCCUUGAGGUACAGUUUGGAAUAACAAUGCUGGUAGAUUUAGUUUUCAAUAAGGAUGUUUAUAUAUCAUUAAAUGAUACAAAAGUUAAUCCAGCCAGAUGCUGAAGGAGACUCCUGUCAGUGAUUCUGUCAUCCCUUGACUGCAGAAAUUCACCCGUGGUUCACCUGUGAAUAAACCUUGAAAUGAUCGCUAGGUUGCAACUGUAUUCUUGUCAAAAGCACCACGUCCACUAUGAGCCAAGUUCUCCAAGUGACUUGGCUGACUUUAGAUACUUUGCAAACUGAGGUAGGAGUGAGCCAAUGGAAGAAAACCCAACCGGUGUAAAAGCAUUGAGAGUCACAAGCUGUUAAUCCCUUUGGACAGAGUGGCUGUGACAAUGCCAAGAUUGUGUUGUAUAGCGCAGCAGUGAACUUUGUAUAGGGUCAGUGUAGGGGAGGAGCUCUGUGUGUGGCCAUCACGGAACAAUGUGGACACAGCUUCCUUCAUCACGAGUAUGGAUACUGACAAAUUUUACUCGGAUGAUACACCUACCGGCUUCAGCACCAGCUGUGUGGCUGGGAGGACCCCGGUCAGAGGGAGAGCAUUUGCCUGGCAGCACUUCACCAAAAAUCACAGUGUGAGAGGCAGUUGCUCCAAGGGUGACGGCCACAAUGAAGCUGCUUUUCAGCAGAGAAGUCAGCAGCAAUGGCCAUGACUGCAGUCUGCGUACAAGCCAGAUUCAGCAGCGCAUUACAUUUAGACUGUGGACGGGUGAUUAAAGGUAUCCAACAUGGCAGUGUCGUGGCUGGGGUCAUGUUUUCCUCUGAUUAAGCGGCGCAGAGAUGGACGGCUGACUGUGAAAAGGUCAGUUGGGGUUGCAAGGGGGUUUUAACUCUUCCUGUCUCAGAUGUCAACUCCUAUCUACACUAGAAAUAAG